GAUUAGGGACAUCUUUGCCACUAAGCUCAAUUUCGAAAUCUGAAGAGGAAACUCUGUUUAGGAAGGUUCUGUUUGAUGCUUUGCUAUUGGUGGAGUACCCUUUCCUUUAUGAAAAUUCCAAGUACAUCAAAGGCCUUUCCUUGACCAGAUUGAUUGUUACUCAUAAGGCUGUAGAGUAUUUUAGGGGAAUUGGUGACCAGAAAAGAGCUCUUUCUUAUGUUAGGG